UGGAGAGUUUGAUCCUGGCUCAGGGUGAACGCUGGCGGCGUGCUUAAGACAUGCAAGUCGAACGGGCUCUUCGGAGCCAGUGGCGCACGGGUGAGUAACGCGUAACUGACCUACCCCAAAGUCGCGGAUAACGAUUCGAAAGAAUCGCUAAUACGUGAUGUGCUGCYMSMUCGUGUGGKRYCAGUAAAGAUUGAUUGCUUUGGGAUGGGGUUGCGUUCCAUCAGCUAGUUGGUGGGGUAAAGGCCCACCAAGGCGACGACGGAUAGCCGGCCUGAGAGGGUGGCCGGCCACAGGGGCACUGAGACACGGGUCCCACUCCUACGGGAGGCAGCAGUUAGGAAUCUUCCACAAUGGGCGAAAGCCUGAUGGAGCGACGCCGCGUGAGGGAUGAAGGUCUUCGGAUCGUAAACCUCUGAAUCAGGGACGAAAGACACUUUAUGUGGGAUGACGGUACCUGAGUAAUAGCACCGGCUAACUCCGUGCCAGCAGCCGCGGUA
rnacentral:rRNA from 1 species